rnacentral:lncRNA from 1 species
GACUCUACACUAGAGUCCCAAUCCAAUUAGACUCUUCAGUCAUUUGGUCAGACUGAAUCUUCUAAUGUGUGUGAAUCCAUAGGUUCAAAUUUAAGCUGGUACCACAGGAAUAAAUAUUUAUACUAAUCAAAGUAACUAUCUAGCAAUGAGACCCGAUGUCCAGAUAGGUCGAAAGAUUGCAAAGCAAUAUUCUAGAACCUACUGACGUAUAGUUACCGUAUAAUUUAUUUCUUUGAUCCUAAUUCUCAAGGUGACCUAGGGUUUGAUUGUCAACCUUAAAAUAGUCAGCCACAUUGUAUUUCAACCUUUUAAAUCCACCACAUGGAUUAUCCUAGCCA